CCCUUAGAUGUUCUGGGCCGCACGCGCGCUACACUGAUGCAUUCAACGAGUUUCUUCCUGGUCCGAGAGGAAUGGGUAACCUUUUGAAAGUGCAUCGUGAUUGGGAUAGACUAUUGCAAUUAUUGGUCUUCAACGAGGAAUUCCUAGUAGACGUAGUUCAUCAGACUGCAUCGAUUACGUCCCUGCCCUUUGUACACACCGCCCGUCGCUCCUACCGAUUGAAUGCUCAGGUGAGCCAUUCGGACCUUCAUCAUGCCGGUUUCCGGUUUUGAUGAGGGAAAGUCUUGCGAACCUUAUCAUUUAGAGGAAGGAGAAGUCGUAACA
rnacentral:rRNA from 1 species